rnacentral:rRNA from 1 species
GACGAACGCUGGCGGCGUGCUUAACACAUGCAAGUCGAACGGAAGGGCCCUGCUUUUGUGGGGUGCUCGAGUGGCGAACGGGUGAGUAACACGUGAGUAACCUGCCCUUGACUCUGGGAUAACUUCACGAAACUGGGGCUAAUACAGGAUAGGAGCUCCUGCUGCAUUGUGGGGGUUGGAAAGUUGCGGCGGUUGGGGCUGGACUCGCGGCGUAUGAGCUUGUUGGUGGGGUAGUGGCUUACCAAGGCUUGGACGGGUAGCCGGCCUGAGAGGGUGACCGGCCACAUUGGGACUGAGAUACGGCCCAGACUCCUGCGGGAGGCAGCAGUGGGGAAUAGUGCACAAUGGGCGGAAGCCUGAUGCAGCAACGCCGCGUGCGGGAUGACGGCCUUCGGGUUGUAAACCGCUUUCGCCUGUGACGAAGCGGGAGUGACGGUAAUGGGUAAAGAAGCACCGGCUAACUACGUG